rnacentral:rRNA from 1 species
UACGGGGGGGGCAAGCGUUGUUCGGAAUUACUGGGCGUAAAGGGCUCGUAGGUGGCCAACUAAGUCAGACGUGAAAUCCCUCGGCUUAACCGGGGAACUGCGUCUGAUACUGGAUGGCUAGAGGUUGGGAGAGGGAUGCGGAAUUCCAGGUGUAGCGGUGAAAUGCGUAGAUAUCUGGAGGAACACCGGUGGCGAAGGCGGCAUCCUGGACCAAUUCUGACGCUGAGGAGCGAAAGCCAGGGGAGCAAACGGG